UAUCAACUCAUCACCUAAUUGUAAACUGGUGUACCUAGGUUUCACUGUCCUAAAGGUACUACAGUCACUCAGAACUGGGAAUCUCUGCUUCCCGAGAUUGCAUCCUUAGCUGUAAGGUCAAAUAGCAGAACUGGAGCAAAACAAGGCCAGCAACAUUGUAACCUGAUAGUCCACCAAGCACAGAUGUCACUGGAACGAAGAAAAUUGCAGGCACCAUAGAAAACAAAAAGGCAGGUUCAUCACA